rnacentral:rRNA from 1 species
AUUGAACGCUGGCGGCAGGCCUAACACAUGCAAGUCGAGCGGAUGAAGGGAGCUUGCUCCUGGAUUCAGCGGCGGACGGGUGAGUAAUGCCUAGGAAUCUGCCUGGUAGUGGGGGAUAACGUCCGGAAACGGGCGCUAAUACCGCAUACGUCCUGAGGGAGAAAGUGGGGGAUCUUCGGACCUCACGCUAUCAGAUGAGCCUAGGUCGGAUUAGCUAGUUGGUGGGGUAAAGGCCUACCAAGGCGACGAUCCGUACCUGGUCUGAGAGGAUGAUCAGUCACACUGGAACUGAGACACGGUCCAGACUCCUACGGGAGGCAGCAGUGGGGAAUAUUGGACGAAGGGCGAAAGCCUGAUCCAGCCAUGCCGCGUGUGUGAAGAAGGUCUUCGGAUUGUAAAGCACUUUAAGUUGGGAGGAAGGGCAGUAAGUUAAUACCUUGCUGUUUUGACGUUACCAACAGAAUAAGCACCGGCUAACUUCGUG